AUCAACGGCUUUGGACCGUCGAUUCAAGAUCUAACGUAUCAAACGGGUCUCCAGCUGUGCAUCCACUGCCAAUCCACCACCGUCGCUCGCUUCCGCUCCCUCGUGCUCCCUCCCCCUCCCUUCCCCUCCCCUCCGAUGGCGGCACUCGCCGGAAUCCUAGCUCCGUCCCUUCUCCCUCUCCCCCUCCGCCUCCCGCAUAGCUCGCUCCCCCACCCCAGACUCCUCACCCCAGCCUCCUCCUCCUCCUCGCUCCGCCCGCGAGCCCCCCGCCUCACGGUCGCCCACGCGGCUUCCGGCGACAACGGCGGGCCCCCGGCGGACGGGGACAAGGAGCGGAAAGGCCCGUCCCUCCCGGCGCUGUCGGAGAUCCGGUGGGGGGAGCUGCUGUCCCCGCAGCCCGCCAACGCCGCGGCCGUGGUGCUCACGGGCGCGCUCGCCUGGGCCGGCGCCUCGCUGCUGCUGCAGCUCGUGCUCAUCUUCGCGGCGAUCUUCGCCGCAGCGGUUAAGUACUCCUUCGUCGCCGCAAUCCUGCUCUUCGUCCUCAUCGCGCUCCUGUGACCGACCCGCCCGCUCAGAAACUAAGAGAUUGAGAACCAAGUACUGCAACUUAAGGCUUCAUACAACUUUAUUGGUUUUUGAUAGCCUUCACUUUGUAUUGGCCUUGAAGCUGAGAUGGUACUAGUCGUAAACAGACACUGGCUUCACGUUCCUCUCAAAUCGAACACACAUGCAGUGACAGCACCUGCUUCUAUAUAGCAAUCCACCUUCAAGGGAAUAUGUCUUAAGCAAGUAUUGGUUGCAUUGCUGCACGGCACUUGAAAGCACCUUGCAGGUCAUUGUACAUCUUUAUUUAUGCUCUUGUAGAUUCUCAUGAAUAUUGUAAUAUGGUACAGUUUGUAUACUGGUUGUAUAUUUAUGUUAUGAUUAACUUAACUCAUCUUGUAAGAUCCUGUUCCGAUGUAAGGACAAAUCCAUUGUUUUCCCCACUAAAUAUUGCUUACCUUGAUAAUAACGACUUUCAUGUCGGCGGAUUUGCUUUUUAA